CUAAUUUUCAUCAAAUUAAUAUGUUCACUACCUGAUUAUGCAUUAAUUUUGACACAAAAUGUUAAACAACCUUUCAUCAUCAUUAUCAUCUAUCAUCUAUUUGGGAUAGCUUGGUGAAUACCUAGCAUAGGUGGAUUCAGGGGGCCACUGCCUGGAUAAAUGCUUCUGUGUUUUGUGUUAUGUGCAGUUGGGUAUAAAUUUUAUAAGUGUAUUUUCCACAUCACAUUUCAUUCGUAAAAUUACUGUGAGUUGGGAAAGGACUAGUAUUGAGCAUAACAAUAAUAAUCGUAAAAGUGUUAUUGUUGUUUUCCAACUUACAAAUAAAUAAAAAACUAUGAAGAAUAAAAUCAAUAUUUAUUUUUCGGAGAGUUCUUUUCAUAAAAUGAACAAUAACUACAUACUAUUAAAAUGUUCCAAUUUCCAUUUAUAGUCAUAUGUACAGUAAAAAUAACAAAAUAUGCAAAAUUAUUGUUUAUUUUCUCAGGCUGUGUGCGCCUCUUAAAUGAGGAUGCAAUCAUUUUUUCUAUUUGAAUUUCCAUCCAAUCCAUUAGUGAUGAUAUACCUUUAGAUGAAAAACUUAACAAUGAACAACCAUCUGAUCACAUUUUCCUGGUGAAAAUGAUUUAUUUCCAAAUUGGAGAAAAUGCUUCAAAACUUGUUCAUGAAAAUAAAUGAAUUAUCCUGAGGUAUGGUUAAGAUGUUAGAAGAGGUAAAAACUAUUCUCACAUUCAAUUUCAUAUCUAAGCUUGAAAUUAUUGUUACAAGAAUUCAAACUGUUUCAAUUGUUCCUUCAAAUACCAAAGGGACAGAUUUGUCUCUUGUGAAAUAUCAUCUUCUUUCCUAAAGGUAUAAUACACAUCAAACUCUUAAUAGUAUAAAAUUUGUUACUUCAACUACAUACUAGGGCUGGUGAGGUAAUAUGGAACAAUCUAUAUUGCAUGAAAGUUCAAACCAGCUGAAAUUAAAGAGAGGUAACAACACCAGCCAAAAAAAAAGGGAGGUAACAAAAAUAAAUUCUUCUAUCUCUACAUAAGAAUAUAUAUAUAUAUAUAAAUCUAAAGAACUAAGAAAAAUACUAAUUUCUUUUAAAAAUUUAAAAUAAAAUAUGUAUUUGGAAGAAUUCAAUCCAUUAUUAAGUACAUAUAACUUGAAGUCU
rnacentral:lncRNA from 1 species